AGCGAACGCUGGCGGCAGGCCUAACACAUGCAAGUCGAACGAACUCUUCGGAGUUAGUGGCGGACGGGUGAGUAACACGUGGGAACGUGCCUUUAGGUUCGGAAUAACUCAGGGAAACUUGUGCUAAUACCGAAUGUGCCCUUCGGGGGAAAGAUUUAUCGCCUUUAGAGCGGCCCGCGUCUGAUUAGCUAGUUGGUGAGGUAAAGGCUCACCAAGGCGACGAUCAGUAGCUGGUCUGAGAGGAUGAUCAGCCACAUUGGGACUGAGACACGGCCCAAACUCCUACGGGAGGCAGCAGUGGGGAAUCUUGCGCAAUGGGCGAAAGCCUGACGCAGCCAUGCCGCGUGAAUGAUGAAGGUCUUAGGAUUGUAAAAUUCUUUCACCGGGGACGAUAAUGACGGUACCCCGAGAAGAAGCCCCGGCUAACUUCGUG
rnacentral:rRNA from 1 species